rnacentral:rRNA from 1 species
GGUUAAGCGACUAAGCGUACACGGUGGAUGCCCUGGCAGUCAGAGGCGAUGAAGGGCGUGCUAAUCUGCGAUAAGCGCCGGUAAGGUGAUAUGAACCGUUAUAACCGGCGAUACCCGAAUGGGGAAACCCAGUGUGACUCGUCACACUAUCAUUAACUGAAUCCAUAGGUUAAUGAGGCGAACCGGGGGAACUGAAACAUCUAAGUACCCCGAGGAAAAGAAAUCAACCGAGAUUCCCCCAGUAGCGGCGAGCGAACGGGGAGGAGCCCAGAGCCUGAAUCAGCAUGUGUGUUAGUGGAAGCGUCUGGAAAGGCGCGCGAUACAGGGUGACAGCCCCGUACACAAAAGCGCAUAUGCUGUGAGCUCGAUGAGUAGGGCGGGACACGUGGUAUCCUGUCUGAAUAUGGGGGGACCAUCCUCCAAGGCUAAAUACUCCUGACUGACCGAUAGUGAACCAGUACCGUGAGGGAAAGGCGAAAAGAACCCCGGCGAGGGGAGUGAAAAAGAACCUGAAACCGUGUACGUACAAGCAGUGGGAGCCCCACCACUAAGCCAGUGGUGAACUCCACAUACGCAUCCUUUGCUGAGGAUACGGUUAACGGAGCGCAAGCGACGUUCAACCGCAAAAGAAGCAGAGGGGGCUUAGUGGUGG